UAAAUUUUGUGGGGGUGCCUAUAGGCUGAGAAGAUAUUAUUCUAACCCUUUGAACCUGAUCCAGUUAACUCUGGCGUAGGGAAGCAAGUUAUAGUAUAAC
rnacentral:ncRNA from 2 species